AGGCAACCACGCAAAUAGGCUGGGUGCCCCCUAUAACGACUUCUGUCGUAACUGUAGAGACGAAGAUGAGGAGGAGGCAGAAGAAAAUCUGUUCUGAUCCUGUCCGGCUCUCAGUAGAAGGAUGUUAAGAUGUCUGGGAUCACCUUUUCUAAACGACAUUUCAGAAAUGGCUACUAUAGGCCCCAGGAAGAUAUCAAACUUUGUGAGAGGAAACCCAACAACAAAACACUUGAACAUUGUCCCAGAGUAGAGCGGGAUUAUUCAAACAUAAAAUCAAAUUAAAAUGGAACAAGGAUCAGGAAAUAGCGGUGGUAAGUAAUAUACAUGUUAUAUUUUAAUUGUUGUUACAAAAUAACAUUAGUAUUUCUCAAUUUCGCAGAGAAGAAGAGAACAGCAGGAGCAGGGUGAAAUUGUCAUCGGAGAUGAAGGGCCUGCUGAUAGACCUCUGGCAGGAGAAUAUUGAAGAUCUAUGUGGAGCCCGAAAUAAACUCCUACGUCUACAUGGAGAUUGCACAGGCCAUGAAGGAAGCUGGGCCCGAGAUUGGAUGGAGAGGUUCGAUGUAAAGUCGAAAACAGAUAUCAAAACAUAUAUCCCUUCUAUUAUCUCCUCCUCGUCAAUGUUGUCCUCUUCGUCAUCAUUCAUGUCCAGCAACAUUAUUAGCUUAUGCAAGAAAAUAUUUUGCUGCUGAAUAACACUCAUAACCAUUACUUUAUUAUUAUUAAUUUUAAUUUUAAGAAUUAAACAAAUUAGCUGAAAAUUUGGUGAUAAAUAUAUAAGUUAACACAUAAGCAAUAACAUGGAACACCCUAACUUAGCGCACAAGAAAUGUGAAAUAUCAUGUGCCGCCCUAACUUAUCCAGUCCGAUACGGAGGGCGCCGAUGCAGUAGAUGCCGUUGCAGCGGGCGGCUCUGUGAUCUGAUUGGGCGCCAGCGAUCGCAUGAUCUUGUUUAUGCGUAGGCGGCUCUUAUCUCUUGUGAGCGCGGACGGCUCGCCGGCUAGGUUUCGGUGUAGGUUUAGAAGUAAGCUUUAGUUUAGAAUUGGACGAAUAAAUGAACGGAGCGUUCAUAUCAACUCCGACACGAGUCGUAAAACGUGUAUUGAUAUAAUCAUAUUGUUGAGCCUUAAGGGCCAACGAAAUAGAGGGCAAUUACCCUCUCAACAUAAUCUUCGGUAGAAGACUCAGUUGCCAACCGCAACCACCGUCCCCCGCUACAAGAGCGGUCCACGGGAACCCGAUCGCUGCCGCCGGAGCCAACGCAACGCAUACCGCAGCUCGGACCAAAUACGACAUUAAGUUAAUUGGCGCCCAACGGGAUUUAGGAUCCACGUCCCCAAGAGCGGACUAAAAAACCGCCAUAAGUUAAUUGGCGCCCAACGGGAUUUAGGAUCCACGUCCCCAAGAGCGGACUAAAAAACGCGCCAUAAAGAUAAUUGGCGCCCAACGGGAUUUAGGAUCCACGUCCCCAAGAAAAAUAACAUGUAAGUGACUGUUCGGAAAAAAUAAAGCUUGUGAGAGAAUUUUGAUCUCCCCUUCGCUGAUCGUUUAUGAGUUGGGACUAUAGAAACAAGGUCGAAUACGACAGCGACGAGAGCCUAGACUUAUUGUACCAGCCACCAGUCAGAACAGUGCAGAAUCAAUUUAAAAUGGACCCAGCCAUGAUAAAAGCGUUAGUAGAAGGCGCAAUCAACACAGCCCUCGUCGAACAGGAACGACGACUGAGUGCAGAAUUUAGCAGGGAACUCGAAAAAGUUAGAAAUAGUGUGAGCGCUCUAACUGUAGGUGUCCCUCAUGUGGAAACUUAUAAGAGAGUGACCAUUGACACUAGUAUAAAAUGUGAAGUGAAACUAGAUAUCAUAAAAUCAGUACCAACUUUCAACGGGAAUCAUGAGGAAUAUGUGUCUUGGAGACAAUCUGCUCUAGAUGCGUACGAAGUUUUCAAAAACUACUCUGGUAGUCAGACACACUACGAGGCUGUGGCCAUCAUAAAAAAUAAAAUCUGUGGAACAGCUCGAGCAUUGCUCACAUCGCACAACACGGUGCUCAAUUUUGAUGCAAUCAUAGCUAGACUCGAUUGCACAUAUGCGGACAAAACAUCCCUACGAGUAUUACGUCAACACUUGGAAAUGGUUAGGCAGGGUGAAACCGAUCUAAUGGAAUAUUAUGACGAAGUCGAGAGAAAGCUCACGCUCGUCACUAACAAAGUGGUCAUGACUCAUAAUGAGGAGGCAGCUACCAUUCUCAACGAGGAAAUUAGGAAUGAUGCUUUACACGCAUUCAUAGCGGGCCU
rnacentral:lncRNA from 1 species